rnacentral:rRNA from 1 species
UACAGAGGGUGCAAGCGUUAAUCGGAAUGACUGGGCGUAAAGGGCGCGUAGGUGGUUAUUUAAGUUGGAUGUGAAAGCCCCGGGCUUAACCUGGGAACUGCAUUCAAUACUGAGUGGCUUGAGUAGAGUAGAGGGGAGUGGAAUUUCCGGUGUAGCGGUGGAAUGCGUAGAUAUCGGAAGGAACACCAGUGGCGAAGGCGGCUCCCUGGGCUCAUACUGACACUGAGGCGCGAAAGCGUGGGGAGCAAACAGG